rnacentral:rRNA from 1 species
GACGAACGCUGGCGGCGUGCCUAAUACAUGCAAGUGGGACGCAAGGGAACACACUGUGCUUGCACACCGUGUUUUCUUGAGUCGCGAACGGGUGAGUAACGCGUAGGUAACCUGCCUAUUAGCGGGGGAUAACUAUUGGAAACGAUAGCUAAUACCGCAUAAUAUUAAUUAUUGCAUGAUAAUUGAUUGAAAGAUGCAAGCGCAUCACUAGUAGAUGGACCUGCGUUGUAUUAGCUAGUUGGUAAGGUAAGAGCUUACCAAGGCGACGAUACUUAGCCGACCUGAGAGGGUGAUCGGCCACACUGGGACUGAGACACGGCCCAGACUCCUACGGGAGGCAGCAGUAGGGAAUCUUCGGCAAUGGACGAAAGUCUGACCGAGCAACGCCGCGUGAGUGAAGAAGGUUUUCGGAUCGUAAAGCUCUGCUGUAAGUCAAGAACGUGUGUGAGAGUGGAAAGUUCACACAGUGACGGAGCUACCAGAAAG